CUGGACACAACCCGACCGAAGCCCGAUUCGAUUCUACCUGACCAACCGACCAACCUAGAGAAAUGUUCUAGACCGAACAUGUGCGGUAGAAGCAUAUGCCACCCGUGCAACUGAGAUCACAACGAUGGACGCCCGGGACCACUACUGGCUACACCGUGCACUUAUCCGUGGCCUGAAACUCGACCGCUGUUCCGUUAUGAGCAUUCCUCGUCGUCCUUUUUCGAGCAUGCCAGCUGGAGCAAGAGCGGCACGUGCUGCUUUGAUUGCGGGCGACGUUUGGUUGGCCGCCCCCGGUUUUCUACGCGGGUGCUCCAGCCCCGCGUGUUGGUCGCUAACGUCGGUACUCCCCGUAAUAAUCGUCGUGUAGCUCAGAAUUGAGGGAACGGCCGGCACGACGAUGGCGGGAGCGCGCAAUAAAGGUAAUGGAUGCCGCGGCACGGACGAGUUGACGUUACGCGUGCCGCUGAAGGACAA